rnacentral:misc_RNA from 1 species
GAUGAAGAAACGUAGCGAAAUGCGAUAAGUAAUGUGAAUUGCAGAAUUCAGUGAAUCAUCGAAUCUUUGAACGCACAUUGCGCCCUUUGGUAUUCCGAAGGGCAUGCCUGUUCGAGCGUCAUUAUCACCCCUCAAGCCCGGCUUGUUGUUGGACCGAGCCCCGUUAAACGGGCUGGCCCCAAAGAUAAUGACGGCGUCUGCUGAGGACUCCAGUACACUGAGCUUUCGGGCACGUACUUGGUCAGACUUCCAGACACCGUUUAACCAAAGAGGUGGGGGGUUCUCCCCUUACCUUUUACUUCUAAGGUUGACCUCGGAUCAGGUAGGAAUACCCGCUGAACUUAAGCAUAUCAAUAAGCGGAGGA